CUGCCCAACUCCAUUGCUACUUAGGAAAACUAAUAAUUGACAUGCUCUAAGACUCAAAACUAUAGAACUGAUUUAGCCAUUUCUUCCUGGUCCUCUGUGGAAAUCUGGAAACAUCUGACAAAAUAUUUCAGUUAGCUUGAGCAAUCCUGGAAUCAGACCCAAGGAAGCUAAACAUUGUAGACACCAAUUCAGGGAGGUCAUAAUCAUGUUUCCAACCCCAGUCUCUCCGGGCAUUGCUGUCAUCAAAGUUCAUUGGCCAGCUGUCAGCUAUUGCCUGCCUGACCGUGUCCACAUUGUAGGUCACCUGAAGCUCAGGAACGUGCUUCUGCACCUCUUGUGCCAGCUCUUCAGGAGUGAAGCUCAUGGCACUGAUGUUGUAUGUCCUCAUGCUCAGUGCCUCUGCAGGGGCCUCCAUGACCUCUAGAGUUGCUUUCAAGCAGUCAUCAAUGUACAUCAUAGGAAGGCGUGUGUCCGGCUUUAAGUUGCACUCAAAUUUGCCAGUCUUAAUGGCAUCGUGGAAAAUCUGGACAGCAUAAUCAGUUGUUCCC
rnacentral:lncRNA from 1 species